AUUGAACGCUGGCGGCAGGCCUAACACAUGCAAGUCGAACGGUAGCACAGAGAGCUUGCUCUCGGGUGACGAGUGGCGGACGGGUGAGUAACGUCUAGGAAACUGCCCGAUGGAGGGGGAUAACUACUGGAAACGGUAGCUAAUACCGCAUAACGUCGCAAGACCAAAGUGGGGGACCUUCGGGCCUCACACCAUCGGAUGUGCCCAGAUGGGAUUAGCUAGUAGGUGGGGUAAUGGCUCACCUAGGCGACGAUCCCUAGCUGGUCUGAGAGGAUGACAAGCCACACUGGAACUGAGCAACGGGCCAGACUCCUACGGGAGACAGCAGUGGGGAAUAUUGCACAAUGGGCGCAAGCCUGAUGCAGCCAUGCCGCGUGUAUGAAGAAGGCCUUCGGGUUGUAAAGUACUUUCAGCGGGGAGGAAGGCGGUGAAGUUAAUAGCUUCACCGAUUGACGUUACCCGCAGAAGAAGCACCGGCUAACUCCGUGCCAGCCGCCGCGGUAA
rnacentral:rRNA from 1 species